AUGUACUCAUUACCAAGAAAAGGUUUAAGACUAGCACAUAUCAAUAUAAACAGUCUCAGGAAUAAAAUCAAUGAAGUUGCUGAACUGUUAAAUGAUUAUAAAAUACACAUUCUUGCUAUCUCAGAGACUCACUUGGACUCUUCCUUUGAUGACACAGAACUGUUUAUUGAAGGUUACAACAUAUACAGAAAUGACAGAAAUGGUUUUGGUGGUGGAGUAGCUUUUUAUAUUCAGAAUCAUUUGCCAGUAAAAAUAAGAGCUGAUUUAAUGAGUUUUAACAUCGAAAUAUUAUGGUUGCAAAUGCAUCUACCUCACCGAAAGUCUAUACUUCUGUGUUGCUGUUACCGGUCACCAAGUGCCAAUUGUGAAUAUCUUGAUACUAUCUGUAAAAUGUUGGAUAUAUAUACUAAUGUAAGUCAGGACAUAUAUUUCAUGGGUGACUUAAACAUUGACUGGUUUUCUAAAGAUUGCUACUUGAAAAAAAAACUGUUAUCUACUGCAAAUGCUUGUGGACUUACUCAACUUAUAACUAAGCCUACAAGAACAUGUUUUAGGAGCGACGGCUCCAGAACAUCUACCUGUAUAGAUCAUAUUUUCACAAACCGACCUGAACUGUGUAAAAAGGUAUUGUCUAUUCCCAUUGGUAGCAGUGAUCAUAAUCUGAUCAUUUCUGUGUUAACAACCAAGCUGAGUGGAUCUGGAACUGCAGUCUUAUUUAAAAGAUCUUAUAAAUUGUUUAAAAAUGACAAGUUUAUUGAAGAUGUUCAAGCUAUAUGCUGGUCUGAUGUGUUGACAGCUAGUAAUCCAGAAAUUGCUCUCUUUAAAUUUAACAGUCUAUUUUUGUCAUUGAUUGAGAAACAUGCGCCUUUAAAGAAGUUUACUGUCAGGAAUAACGUCACACCUUGGUUAGAUGAUGAAUUGAAAAAUUAUAUGAAAAUAAGAGGUCAAAUGAAAAGAACAGCAGUUACUACAGGAAAUAAAUGUGAUUGGGACCUAUAUCGUAAAAUGAGAAAUUCUGUUACUAAACUUAAUAAAAAGAAGAAGAAAAUCUAUUUUGAUAAUCAGGUUAAAAAUAUAGGAAAUGAUAGUAGGAAGUUAUGGAGUGUUUUAAAUCUAUUGACUGGUAAGAAAAAUAAAAUAAGUCCAUCUUUUUUGGAAACAGGUGAUAAAUUUAUAACUAAGCCAAUAGAUAUUGCAAAUUAUCUUAAUGAUUAUUUUAUAAGAAAAUUAGAUAAACUAAGAGAAAAUAUGCCUAAUCUAAGUAAUGAUAUAUCUCAUCUUUUAAUAAGAAAUGAACUGAUGAAAAAUAAAAACUUAAGGUUUAAAUUAGAAAGUGUAAAUAUAGAUCAAGUAAAGAAUCUUUUAAAAGCCUGUAAAAACAAACCAUCGGGUGUCGACGGUCUUGACAGCAGGCUUCUUAAACUAGCUGCUGACUUUAUUGCCCCUGUUCUAACCCACAUCAUUAACCUCAGUUUUAUCUGCUGUACCUGCCCACAUGCAUGGAAGCAGGCUAAAAUAGUUCCUCUGCCCAAAGAUAAGAAAUUGCCUUUCUCUGGUCCCAACAGUCGCCCGAUAAGUAUAUUACCUGUAUUAUCUAAAAUAAUGGAAUCUAUAUGA
ensembl:lncRNA